rnacentral:rRNA from 1 species
UACGUAGGGUGUGAGCGUUAAUCGGAAUUACUGGGCGUAAAGCGUGCGCAGGCGGUUUGAUAAGCCAGAUGUGAAAACCCCGAGCUCUACUUGGGAACUGCGUUUGGAACUGUCAGACUAGAGUGCGUCAGAGGGGAGUGGAAUUCCGCGUGUAGCAGUGAAAUGCGUAGAGAUGCGGAGGAACAUCGAUGGCGAAGGCAGCCCCCUGGGAUGACACUGACGCUCAUGCACGAAAGCGUAGGGAGCAAACAGG